rnacentral:rRNA from 1 species
GACGUAGGGUGCGAGCGUUGUCCGGAUUUAUUGGGCGUAAAGGGCGCGUAGGCGGUCAGCACAAGUCAGUUGUGAAAUCUCCGGGCUUAACUCGGAAAGGUCAACUGAUACUGUGCGACUAGAGUGCAGAAGGGGCAACUGGAAUUCUCGGUGUAGCGGUGAAAUGCGUAGAUAUCGAGAGGAACACCUGCGGCGAAGGCGGGUUGCUGGGCUGACACUGACGCUGAUGCGCGAAAGCGUGGGGAGCAAACAGG